rnacentral:rRNA from 1 species
CCUACGGGGGGCUGCAGUGGGGAAUCUUCCGCAAUGGACGAAAGUCUGACGGAGCAACGCCGCGUGUAUGAUGAAGGUCUUCGGAUUGUAAAGUACUGUCUUUGGGGAAGAAUGAUGCAUUUGAAAAUAUUGAGUGCAUAUGACGGUACCCAAGGAGGAAGCCCCGGCUAACUACGUGCCAGCAGCCGCGGUAAUACGUAGGGGGCAAGCGUUGUCCGGAAUUAUUGGGCGUAAAGGGCGCGUAGGCGGAUGUUUAAGUCCGGUGUGAAAGAUCAGGGCUCAACCCUGAGAGUGCAUCGGAAACUGGGCGUCUUGAGGACAGGAGAGGAAAGUGGAAUUCCUAGUGUAGCGGUGAAAUGCGUAGAUAUUAGGAGGAACACCAGUGGCGAAGGCGACUUUCUGGACUGUAACUGACGCUGAGGCGCGAAAGCGUGGGGAGCAAACAGGAUUAGAUACCCGAGUAGUC